rnacentral:rRNA from 1 species
CCUACGCGAGGCAGCAGUAGGGAAUUUUCGGCAAUGGGGGGAACCCUGACCGAGCAACGCCGCGUGAACGAAGAAGUUAUUCGUAAUGUAAAGUUCUUUUAACAGGGAAGAAAGAGAAAUUUGACGGUACCUGAAGAAUAAGCUUCGGCAAACUACGUGACAGCAGCCGCGGUAAUACGUAGGGAGCGGGCGUUAUCCGGAAUUAUUGGGCGAAAGGGGUGCGUAGAUGGCAUAGUAAGUCUUUUGUAAAAAUGCUGGGCUCAACCCAGUAGGGCAAAAGAUACUGCAAAGCUAGAGUAUGACAGAGGCAAGUGGAACUAGAUGUGUAGCGGUGAAAUGCGUAGAUAUAUGUAAGAACACCAGUGGCGAAGGCGGCUUGCUGGAGCGAUACUGACAUUGAGGCACGAAAGCGUGGGUAGCAAACAGGAUUAGAUACCCGGGUAGUC